UCGGGUCUUCAGGGUCCUCUCUCGGCCACACCAUGUAGGCGUGACAGUUACCGAAGCCUCAAUGGGGGUUGGAACUUCCAGAUCAAAGCUGGAAUGGCUACCCACUACAUUCAGGCUUUGUUCAUAAGAUGAACUCACCACAGGGAACGCCUUCCACAGUGCUGGGACAGAGUGCUCAGCACAGUUUGGGAAACCAUGGCUGUUCCUCAUGCUGCACUCAGGCACAGAGGAAUAAGCUGGACAGAGGUGUGGUCAAGCCUCUGUUACCUCAUAUAACAGCUCAUUGCCAAGGUAAAGGCUGUGGUGUUGAUGUGAGGGAAGUCAGUGUCUGCUGGGUUGGGCCAGGAUUCAGAAAGAUUUGCUUGCAGGUGUGCAGUGAGGUUUGGGCUAUGUGGUGGGAAAAAUACAUACAGGAUUCCAGGGAUGAAGGCCUAAUUAACAGUGUGUUAUACUGAAAAGUGGGAGGGUGUAAUGUGAGGCGCAAAGUGGUCCUUGAGGUGACCUUUUAACAGGACCUGUGCUAUAGCAGUAGGAAAAAGUUGCAGUACCAGUGGAAUGUGUGCCAAGAAAUUGUCAAAAUAAGGGAAUGACACCCACAACUCAUCGGACAAUGAGGCCCAGGGAUGGCCACCCCCAGCCUGUGCUGCAGACUGGUACAGGAUGAAGUUCUGAUGUUGUGCUGUUCUCCAGUGAGUGACGCUCUCAGAGGUCAUCGACUACCAUUGCACAUCCAGAAAUGAUGACCAUAUAUGAACACUAAUAAAAACGUAAGUUUUGACAUACAAGAACUCAGAAUGAUCCACUACAUCACCUGUAAAGAAACUGGUAUGUUUGACCCUGAGGAUGGCCAGAACCUCAAUGGUAAGAUAUGAAGGAAUGUCCCAGUGGUUCCAAUGAAAAAAGCCUUGGGAACUUAAAAAAAAAAAUAGUGUGAGUAGACCUGAGCCUGACCCUGAAAGGCCGAACAGAAUGCAAAAAGCAAUGUGGUGAUAAAUUGAUUCCUCACCAUGAAGUAUAAUGCUGUAUAUGGCCCAGGCCCAAGAGAAGGAGAGAUGUGGGCCUGGGCCUACCCCUGAUGCUGAAGAAUAACAAACCAAAAGAAGAAGAAAUCUGGGCCUAGACCUAUCUAUAAACUUAAAGAGGCCCAGGCCGAUAAAAGAGAUAUGGGCCUGACCCUGUCCUUGACCCUGAAAAGGUCUGGACCCAACAUGAAGAGAUAUGGGCCUGUGCCUAUCCGUGAUCCUGAAGAGGCAAGGGCCCUACAAAGAAAGAUAUGGGCCUGGGCCUAUCCCUGGUCCUGAAGAGGCCUGGGCCCUAACAAGAAGAGAUGUGGGCCUGGGCCUACCCCUGACCCUGAAGUGGCCUGGACCCUAACAAGAAGAGAUAUGGGCCUGGGCCUAACCCUGACCCUGAGAGGCCUGGGCCCAACAUGAAGAGAUAUGGGCCUGGGCCUAUCCCUGAUCCUGAAGAGGCCUGGGCCCUAACAAGAAGAGAUGUGGGCCUGGGCCUAUCCCUGACCAUGAAGAGACCAGGGCCCAAAGAGAUGAGGACCUGGGCCUACCCCACACCCUGAAGAGGCUGGGCUUAUCCCUCACGCUUAAGAGGCCUGGGCCCUAACAAGAAGAGAUGUGGGGCUGGGCCUACCCCUGACCCUGAAGAAGCCUGGGCCCAA